rnacentral:lncRNA from 1 species
UCUCCUACGGUUGUCAACAUAGCUCUUUUGAUGACACUGAGUGGUAAUGAGGUUCUUGUUAAUAAUAAUAACUUUCUCAAUAGUUUUCUGAAUGCAGUUCGGUCCCAAGUGACGCUAAAUUCUGUCUUCAUUCUAGCAGGUUGGGGAACAAAAAAGCCUAUUAUACAUGGCUUAAUAUGAAGUCAUAUCGAUGCUAAAAUGAUAAUUGUUGUU